GCAUUUGCUUAUUUCUAUCUUGAGAGAAGUUGGGUGCUGAUGGGCCUAUAAAUCCUCCAGGUUCUCUGCUUCGAAAUGGCGUGAUUCUCCUUUUACUGAGGCUCAGGGAGCGGCAGACUCAUGCUUUGAUCAAGGUCUUUCAGAUUCCUAAGCCAGGAAGGGCUCUAAGCUGAGACACAGACAAGCUUUGCCCUCAGGUAUUGCUGAUUUAAAUGGAAAGGCCCAGCCUCUGCCAUCAUGGGGGGACAGGUGGUCACUGUGUCUACUGCUGUGUGGGGAGAAGAGCAGGAAGGGAGAUGGUCACCUUGUUCUGAGGGUUCUUUGUGCCUGGUGCAUGCAAUCAUCCAUUUGCUGAGUAUCUACUCAGUACCUAAAGGUGGGGGGCUAAAUCCAGCAGGUUGCCUGUCUUUAUAAAUAAAGUUUUACUGGAACAGUA